GGACUGCCUUUUGCAUAAUGAGCCUGCGAGUUGUGGUGUCUGGCAAGGUUAAGCAAACGCGAAGCCGUAGCGAAAGCGAGUCUGAAUAGGGCGCUUAGUCAGAUGCUGCAGACCCGAAACGAAGUGAUCUAUCCAUGAGCAAGUUGAAGCUAGUGUAAGAACUAGUGGAGGACUGAACCCAUAGGCGUUGAAAAGCCCCGGGAUGACUUGUGGAUAGGGGUGAAAGGCCAAUCAAACUUCGUGAUAGCUGGUUCUCUCCGAAAUAUAUUUAGGUAUAGCGUUGUGUCGUAAUAUAAGGGGGUAGAGCACUGAAUGGGCUAGGGCAUACACCAAUGUACCAAACCCUAUCAAACUCCGAAUACCUUAUAUGUAAUCACAGCAGUCAGGCGGCGAGUGAUAAAAUCCGUCGUCAAGAGGGAAACAACCCAGACUACCAGCUAAGGUCCCUAAAUCUUACUUAAGUGGAAAACGAUGUGAAGUUACUUAAACAACCAGGAGGUUGGCUUAGAAGCAGCCAUCCUUUAAAGAAAGCGUAAUAGCUCACUGGUCUAGUGAUUUUGCGCGGAAAAUAUAACGGGGCUAAAGUAAGUACCGAAGCUGUAGACUUAGUUUACUAAGUGGUAGGAGAGCGUUCUAUUUGCGUCGAAGGUAUACCGGUAAGGAGUGCUGGAGCGAAUAGAAGUGAGCAUGCAGGCAUGAGUAGCGAUAAUUAAUGUGAGAAUCAUUAACGCCGUAAACCCAAGGUUUCCUACGCGAUGCUCGUCAUCGUAGGGUUAGUCGGGUCCUAAGUCGAGUCCGAAAGGGGUAGACGAUGGCAAAUUGGUU
rnacentral:rRNA from 1 species